GCCAGGCGUGAUAGCACAUGCCUGUAACCCCAAUGACUUGGAGGCUGAGGCAGGAGGAUUGUAAGUUCAAAGCCAGCCUUAGCAACUUAACAAGGCCCUGAGCAACUUGGUGAGACCCUGUCUCAA
rnacentral:sRNA from 1 species